AGUGCGGCCAGGCGCUGCUCUCGGGACACAUCCCCGCGCAGGUCCAGGAGGGCAGAGACAUGAUCCUCGCUAUGGGGACCCCAAAGAGGCCUGCCACCUCGAGGCCGAGCAGCAUGGGGUCACGGAGGUUCAGUAGAUCCCGCAGAGAGAGGAGCACCGGUGCGCACUGAACACUCUCCUCCAGGCCCUGAGCACCCCAGAGUAGGUCUCGAGCCCGCCCUCGACUCCCACCCAACCACUGAGACUCCCGCCCAUCUGCUCGCCUAAGGAGCUCUCACCAAACCAAGGAAAAGCUCCCGAAGCUGGGCCGCAUCGUUCUGCAGGCGCUGCGCUGCCUGGAUCCUCUCGUCGGCUCCUCGGCACACUAGGCGGCCCUGCAUCAACGCACGUAGGUACUGCAGUACCACCGUGCGCUCCGCCUCAGCCAGGAGAAGCUGCAGAGAACGCAAUGAGUCCAAGACGCCUUUCCUAUGGGCGCUUCCCUGCUUCCCAGCCUCUCCCUUAAGCGCACCUGGACUGCAGGAUUCCGCACUCGCCUGAAAUCCUGGCAGAAGCGCACCGUCCGCUCGCAUAUAUCGUCCAGCAGCUCUGGGCUCGACAGCCACCGGCGCGAGGGCAGAGCUUCGAACAGGGGCUGGGGGGUGGGGUUGGGCAGAGACGGGGCUGGAGGAACGUUCAGACCUAGCAUUUCCCCAGCAGAGACCCAUACAUAUAUAUGCUGUAUCUCCUCCUCCCACCCCCAUCCCCACCUGAAGACUUACCUGGAGCUCCGCCAGCAGCGCCUCCAACACCAGGCGGCAGAUCCUCCUCUGCAACUCGUCCAGCCCUGCCUCCACCAGAGCCAAGUCUCCUGAACCCGCCCCGUCGGGCUGCAGGACGGACAAGGAGGAGCUGGACCGACCAAAAGUUAUGGCUUCAGGACCAAGGCCAAGGCCCUCACGGCCCUCUGUUGUCUAGCCACGCUGACGCCACCUACUGGCGUAAGUUUGUGGAGGGAGGGGGCACUACCAAAGAUCUGGGCCUUGGAUUGAAGCUGGGAGUGAUAGGCUCCGACAGCUAGAAGAAACCCAGCCAGAACUGCCUCUAAUUUGCAGUGUAACUUUGCGCAAAUCGUGUCUUUUGGUUUCUGUUUGGGUAAGGGAAGCCUUAGGAGUGAAUAAAAAAUCAUCAUUAA